rnacentral:rRNA from 1 species
CCGACCGGCGCACGGGUGAGUAACACGUAUGCAACCUGGCCGUGACAGAUGGAUAACCGGGAGAAAUCCCGCCUAAUACAACAUAAUGCCGGGAGGGGACAUCCCCUGCCGGUCAAAGGGGGCGACCCCGGUCAUGGAUGGGCAUGCGGCGCAUUAGGUAGUUGGUGGGGCAACGGCCCACCAAGCCGACGAUGCGUAGGGGUUCUGAGAGGAAGGUCCCCCACACUGGUACUGAGACACGGACCAGACUCCUACGGAAGGCAGCAG